AUGGAGAGCGCGACCACGUCGUCCGGUGAUGAGCACCGGGGCGGUGCGCACGUCCUGCUGGUGCCGCUGCCGGCGCAAGGCCACAUGAACCCGAUGCUCCAGCUCGGCCGGCGCCUCGCGUACCACGGCCUGCGCCCCACGCUCGCCGCCACGCGCUACGUGCUCUCCACGGGCCAGCCCCCCGGCGACCCCUUCCGCGUCGCCGCCUUCUCCGACGGCUUCGACGCCGGCGGCAUGGCCUCCUGCCCGGACCCCGUCGAGUACUGCCGCAGGGCCGAGGCCGUGGGGUCAGAGACGCUGGCGCAGGUCAUCGCCGCCGAGACGCUCGCCGGGAGGGCGCCGUCCGUCAUGGUCUACGACCCGCACAUGUCCUGGGCGCCCCGGGUGGCGAAGGCCGCGGGCGUGCCGACCGCCGCGUUCAUGUCGCAGUCGUGCGCCGUGGACCUCAUCUACGGGGAGGCGUGGGCGGGGCGCGCGCCGCUGCCGAUGGCCGACGGGAGCGCGCUGCGUCGCCGGGGCGCGGUGAGCGUGGACCUCGGGCCCGAGGACCUGUCGCCGUUCCUCGUGUCGCCGGAGCUGUACCCCAAAUACCUAGACGUGUCGAUCCGGCAGUUCGAGGGCCUCGAGGACGCCGGCGACGUGCUCGUCAACUCCUUCCGUGACCUCGAACCGCAGGAGGCCGAGUACAUGGAGUCCAGAUGGCGCGCCAAGACGGUCGGCCCGACGCUGCCGUCCUUCUUCCUCGACGACGGCCGCCUGCCGUCCAACAAGGCCUACGGCGUCAGCUUCUUCAGCAGCGACGCGCCCUGCAUGGCAUGGCUGGAUCGGCCAUUUCUCUGGGUCGUGAGGUCCAACGAGGCACAGAAGAUAUCUGAAGAACUCCACGGCAGAUGCAAGGAAAAUGGAUUGAUUGUCCCUUGGUGUCCCCAGCUUGAGGUUCUCGCGCAUAAGGCCACAGGUUGCUUUUUGACUCAUUGUGGAUGGAACUCAACGACAGAAGCACUUGUUGCCGGCGUGCCAAUGGUGGCGAUGCCGAGGUCGGCCGACCAGCCAACCACGGCAAAGUACGUGGAGAGCGCAUGGGGCAUCGGCGUGGGGAUGCACACAGAUGAGAAAGGCUUGGUGAGAAGGGAGGAGGUGGAGAGGUGCAUCAGGAAGGUGAUGGAUGGGGAGGGAAAGGUUGAAUACCGCAAAAAUGCCACAAAAUGGAUGAAGAUGGCCAAAGAGGCAAUGCAGGAAGGAGGGAGUUCCGAUAAGAAUAUUGCUGAAUUUGCAGCCAAGUAUUUAUCAAGAUGA
rnacentral:rRNA from 1 species